rnacentral:rRNA from 1 species
AUGAUGAAGAGAUUUGCGUUCGAGGAGAGGGAGAUGGCGCGCGUGCUGCUGCUCGUAUCACGGGAGCAGGCGAUGCCGAUGCCCGCGCGCGGCGACCGCGCUCCAGAGCGCGCGUUCGUGUGCAAGACGUGCGACCGCGUGUUCCCGUCGUUCCAGGCGCUGGGCGGGCACCGUGCCAGCCACAAGAAGCCACGUCUGGAUGGCGACGGCGAUUUCAAGCCCAAGAUGCACGGCUGCUCCAUCUGCGGCCUUGAGUUCGCCGUUGGCCAGGCGCUCGGCGGCCACAUGAGGCGUCACCGUGCCAUGGUUGCUGGAGGCCAUGGCGUCACGGCGGUGCGGCCGGCGAUAACGACCAACAACCCUAAUGACAAUAGCAACGCCGUUGUGGUUGUUGGCAGCGCAGGCGGCAUCAAGCGCGGGCUGUGGCUCGACCUGAACCAACCGCCGUGUGACGAUCUGUGUGGCAGCGACGUCGAUCACGGCGAGUGCGGCCAUGACGCCGCAACCGCUGGGUACACGUUCCACCAGUUCUUGGAUGCCGGCACCAUGGCGGUGGACUGCGUCGGCUACUAG